GACGAACGCUGGCGGCGUGCUUAACACGUGCAAGUCGAACGAUGAAGCUGGAGCUUGCUCCGGUGGAUUAGUGGCGAACGGGUGAGUAACACGUGAGCAAUCUGCCCUUGACUCUGGGAUAACUGCGGGAAACUGUAGCUAAUACCGGAUACGAGACCUGAAGGCAUCUUCGGGUCUGGAAAGAAUUUCGGUCAAGGACGAGCUCGCGGCCUAUCAGCUUGUUGGUGAGGUAAUGGCUCACCAAGGCGACGACGGGUAGCCGGCCUGGGAGGGUGACCGGCCACACUGGGACUGAGACACGGCCCAGACUCCUACGGGAGGCAGCAGUGGGGAAUAUUGCACAAUGGGCGAAAGCCUGAUGCAGCAACGCCGCGUGAGGGAUGAAGGCCUUCGGGUUGUAAACCUCUUUUAGCAGGGAAGAAGCGAAAGUGACGGUACCUGCAGAAAAAGCACCGGCUAACUACGUGCCAGCCGCCGCAGUAA
rnacentral:rRNA from 1 species